AACCAGCAGGGAUUGCCCUAGUAACGGCGAGUGAAGCGGCACAGCUCAAAUUUGAAAUCUGGCCUCACGGUCCGAAUUGUAAUUUGUAGAGGAUGUUUCUGGCGACGUGUCUUCCGAGUUCCCUGGAACGGGACGCCAUAGAGGGUGAGAGCCCCGUCCGGUCGUACACCUAGCCUCUGUGAAACUCCUUCGACGAGUCGAGUAGUUUGGGAAUGCUGCUCUAAAUGGGAGGUAUACGUCUUCUAAAGCUAAAUACCGGCCAGAGACCGAUAGCGCACAAGUAGAGUGAUCGAAAGAUGAAAAGCACUUUGAAAAGAGGGUUAAAUAGUACGUGAAAUUGCUGAAAGGGAAGCGCUUAUGACCAGACUUGGGCUCGGUGAAUCAUCCGGCGUUCUCGCCGGUGCACUUUGCCGUCCCAGGCCAGCAUCAGUUCGCGCCGGGGGAUAAAGGUUUCGGGAAUGUAGCUCCUUCGGGAGUGUUAUAGCCCGUUGCGUAAUACCCUGGCGUGGACUGAGGUCCGCGCUCUGCAAGG
rnacentral:rRNA from 1 species